UAGAAAGACAAACAAGAGUUAAAAUGGAUGAACACGAAGAAAUUUGAUGAACAUGAGAUGUUUUGAAUGAGAAUAACAAGAGAACACUCAAAGACUUUGCUACUCUUUCACUUUUAGGAGCUUCAUCCAGCAUAGUUCUAUCGAGUGUCAACGCUAAUAACUUCAAGAUUAAACCUACCAUAAUUCAGAUGAUCCAAACCUCAAUUUUACCAAAUGAUAUUAUAAUGUGCAU
rnacentral:lncRNA from 1 species